AAGUGGAUAGUGAAACCUGGUGGCUCAACCAUUCAGACUAUUAUCCAAACUGCAAAGCUUGAGAAUGGUAGAGGUAGUUGGAAUUUCGUGUGUAGGAGUGAAAUCCGUAGAUAUAGGAAGGAACACCAAUGGCGUAGGCAGGCUACUGGACCAUUUCUGACGCUAAGGCACGAAAGCGUGGGGAGCGAACCGGAUUAGAUACCCGGGUAGUCCACGCCGUAAACUAUGGAUACUA
rnacentral:rRNA from 1 species